UCUUCGUGUUUUUGCCACACUCAUUAGUUUCGUCUAAAACUCAAGUCUCAACCUCAAAAACUCUAACCUCCAUAGCGUAAAGCCGAAAACUCGGUCAUCUCUUAAAUCUUAACCCAAAACUUGGCCAGCUCUCAAAUCUGAACCUAGAUUGAACUCAUCUCAAUCUUUUCACCCAAACCUAAAAUUUCUUAGUCCUUCCUUCAUCUAUGAACCUUGAGAAUCCUUGAUGUUUUCAUUCACGUGUGGCUUAAUGGAGCUGUUCAACAACCACUCAACGUAUUAGAGCAAGCUUCACUAUUCUAUUUUCGAUUGGGUUAUUGUUUCUGUUGUUGGUCUGCUCAUAAUGGCGACAUUGUUUUUGCAAGAGCUGAGAUAUUAUCUUACAUCAUAUAACUGUUCAUCAGAUGUUUGUGGACUUGAAGCGUGGGGAGACUCCUCCAAUUCCCAUAAACAUGAUGUUUCUGGCUUUACCUUGUGAUGUUCAGCACUCUUUCUUUUGAACUAUAUGGUUUUUGAACUAUUUCCUUUCUCAUUGUAAGCCUUGUUGAUGAUUUUUAUUCUUCAUUAUAUUCAAUCAGCCUGUGAUACUUGAUUACAUUGCCAGCAAGACUAUCUGUUCUAAUGAUUUGGUAGUGGUCUCACCGGAUGUUGGGGCUGUUGCUAGAGCCCGUGCUUUUUGCGAAAAAGUUAUCUGAUGCUCCUCUGGCAAUUGUUGAUAAAAGAUGUCAUGGGCACAAUGUGGCAGAGGGUUGGUGGAUCUGGUUUUGGACCUCAGAAGCAAAGCAAAGGAUGCCCCUAUAACUCCAAGAAGCAUGAGUGCACUUUGUUUCUAGCUGACAUUGUUCUUAUCAAGAAUGAUAACUCAAAGGUGCUAGCUUUUAUAGUGAAUUGGGAAGUAUCUUGCUUCUUGAAUUAAGAGUAGGGAAAAGGAAAAAGGAAGCUGGUCAUGUGGCUGGGAAAAGAACAAGUUUUGUGUGUAAGCUUUGUGAUUGCAGGAAUUAUAUGGAACAAUGGCUGUCUUCUCUUCAAAACUUUGAUACCUCAAUUAGCUGAUAUCUCUGGAGGAUUAUCCACUUGAAGAAUUAGAGCUGUUACAUAAUUGGCUAAAUCAAAGCUUCUGCUACUUAGUCGCUCUAGAUUAGUAUAGUUGUUCUAGAUAGUAGUUUUUUGCCUUAUGAGUUUAUUGAGCUGAUGCUCAUUAGGUUUAUGUAUGAAACAAUUAUGGAUGUAUUUGCUAGCUGUAAUGACAAAUUGAAGAAUAUAUGUCAUUUGUGUAGUUUCCAGAUUACAUUCUAAUAGGAAUAUAAAGGACUAAAUUCUACUUACCA